rnacentral:rRNA from 1 species
UGCAGUCGAGCGGUAGGCCUUUCGGGGUACACGAGCGGCGAACGGGUGAGUAACACGUGGGUGAUCUGCCCUGCACUUCGGGAUAAGCCUGGGAAACUGGGUCUAAUACCGGAUAUGACCUCAGGUUGCAUGACUUGGGGUGGAAAGAUUUAUCGGUGCAGGAUGGGCCCGCGGCCUAUCAGCUUGUUGGUGGGGUAAUGGCCUACCAAGGCGACGACGGGUAGCCGACCUGAGAGGGUGACCGGCCACACUGGGACUGAGACACGGCCCAGACUCCUACGGGAGGCAGCAGUGGGGAAUAUUGCACAAUGGGCGAAAGCCUGAUGCAGCGACGCCGCGUGAGGGAUGACGGCCUUCGGGUUGUAAACCUCUUUCAGCAGGGACGAAGCGCAAGUGACGGUACCUGCAGAAGAAGCACCGGCUAACUACGUGCCAGCAGCCGCGGUAAUACGUAGGGUGCAAGCGUUGUCCGGAAUUACUGGGCGUAAAGAGUUCGUAGGCGGUUUGUCGCGUCGUUUGUGAAAACCAGCAGCUCAACUGCUGGCUUGCAGGCGAUACGGGCAGACUUGAGUACUGCAGGGGAGACUGGAAUUCCUGGUGUAGCGGUGAAAUGCGCAGAUAUCAGGAGGAACACCGGUGGCGAARGCGGGUCUCUGGGCAGUAACUGACGCUGAGGAACGAAAGCGUGGGUAGCGAACAGGAUUAGAUACCCUGGUAGUCCACGCCGUAAACGGUGGGCGCUAUGUGUGGGUUCCUUCCACGGAAUCCGUGCCGUAGCUAACGCAUUAAGCGCCC